GCAAGAUUAAAACUCAAAGGAAUUGACGGGGGCCCGCACAAGCGGUGGAGUAUGUGGUUUAAUUCGAUGCAACGCGAAGAACCUUACCUGGUCUUGACAUCUCAAGGAUCUCCUGGAAACAGGAGAGUGUUCUUUCGAGAAAACUUGAAGACAGGUGCUGCAUGGCUGUCGUCAGCUCAUGUCGUGAGAUGUUGGGUUAAGUCCCGCAACGAGCGCAACCCUCGCCAUUAGUUGCCAUCAUUUAGUUGGGCACUCUAAUGGGACUGCCGGUGUCAAACCGGAGGAAGGUGGGGAUGACGUCAAGUCCUCAUGGCCUUUAUGACCAGGGCUACACACGUACUACAAUGGCCGGUACAACGGGCAGCCACAGAGCGAUCUGGAGCAAAUCCCUAAAAGCCGGUCUCAGUCCGGAUUGGAGUCUGCAACUCGACUCCAUGAAGUUGGAAUCGCUAGUAAUCGUGGAUCAGCAUGCCACGGUGAAUACGUUCCCGGGCCUUGUACACACCGCCCGUCACACCACGGAAGUUGGUUGUACCAGAAGUAGUUGAGCGAACCUUCGGGACGCAGGCUACCAAGGUAUGGCUGGUAACUGGGGUGAAGUCGUAACAAGGUA
rnacentral:rRNA from 1 species